ACAGUUUGGCAACUGAGUGACAGCUCACCCAUAGACCAUCUGAAUUUUCACAAACCUGAUUUUUCGGAAUUAACACUAAACGGUAGCCUGGAAGAAAGGAUAUUCUUUACUAACAUGGUUACCUGCAGCCAGGUGCAUUUCAAGUGAAGUGUGCUGAUGAAGUCCUCUAUAAGGUAUUUAUGUUCACAUUUUAGUCUCUUUGUCAAAUACUUUGUAAUAAGUACCUUACGUUUAGUUCUUUCUACAUUAUCAAUGUCGAUUUGCUACAUUAGGAAUAGGGAUUAUUAGUAAUCACAUAAAAGGCUUACCAGUUGUUAUUGAGCAGUGCAACUCUUUAAUUUUCUUUCUACCUUUU
rnacentral:lncRNA from 1 species